UCUUUUAACAGGAAAUGAGUAACACUUACCUCUUCAAACUGUUUUCUUGAGAAAUUUUCCGUGUUGUGAACUUUUUUGGCCAUUACCUACCCCAGGACAUUUUUUGAGGACACGUGUCAUUUACGGCCCUACAAUUACUGUGAAUCUCAAGUGACCGUUAGCCCUGUGUUUAAAGCUGCUAUUGUGGGAGACGGCCACAAGGCGGCAGCAUUUCUCCAUUUCCAAAUCUGGUUACUAGGGCAGCAGAGCCUUCCUGAAAGUCGUGUUCCUAGGUUGUAAAUUAGAAUGGGAUAUGCCAGGGAAAACCCCAAUAACUUUAUGUCUCAUUAAUUGUUGUUCGUGGUUUUAAUUUUUAAAAUUGGGGUAAUGAGUGGAGUAGUGUUUGUUCUGGGUGUACACAAUCAGGUUCAAUUGAACAUUACAUAUAUCUAUUCAUGUACACAUCCUAUUCCCAUGUAAAUUACUAUUAUUUUUUAAAUAAAUUUUAUUUAUUGAUUGAUUUAUUUUUGGCUGAGUUGGAUCUUCGUUGCUGCA